rnacentral:rRNA from 2 species
GUAAUCAAAAGUUUAUUAAUUGUAAACCUGUAUGAAAGGAAAAACUUAAUCUUUCUAUCAUUUCCAGAUAAAAGAAUUUAAAUAAAAUUAAAAAAAAAUUUAUAAACUACUAGACGAGAAGACCCUUAAAGCUUUUCCUUUAGGAUUAUUUGGGGAAAAUUUUUAAUUAAAUUCUUAACAAAUUAAAUUUAAAAACUUAUCAAAAAUAAGCUACUUAAGGGAUAACAGAGCAAUAUUUUACGAAAGACCAUAUUUAGUAAGAUGGUUGCGACCUCGAUGUUGGAUUUUGGAGUUAAAAUGUCGCAGAAGACAUUAUAAAUUAGACUGUUCGUUUUUUAAACCCAA